GUCAUCAGAUAUUGCUAAAAAUGCUAAGUUGAAAUACUAGCUUUUCUGACAUCAAUGCUAAUACCAGUAUUUUCUCCAUUUGAAAUUUCCGUUCCAUGACGGAAUUUCUGUUUGUGUUUUAGCCUAUGUAUUGGUAUCAAC